GUUAAUGUAGCUUAAUCCAAAGCAUGGCACUGAAGAUGCCAAGAUGAGCCCUAGAAAGUUCCAAUAACA
rnacentral:tRNA from 1 species